rnacentral:tRNA from 1 species
GGUAAGGUGGCUCAGUGGUAGAGUGCUUGCCUUGCAUGCAUGAGGCCCCGGGUUCGAUUCCUCAGUACCA